rnacentral:rRNA from 1 species
UACGACUACAUAUCAGGCAUAUCAAUAAGCGGAGGAAAAGAAACUAACUAAGGAUUCCCUCAGUAACGGCGAGUGAAGCGGGAAGAGCUCAAAUUUGAAAUCUUCAAGGUUCUACCUUGACGAAUUGUAGUUUAAAGAAGUGUUUUCGGUUAGAGGAGUAGUAAAAGUUCUUUGGAAUAGGACAUCAUAGAGGGUGAGAAUCCCGUAUUUGACUAUUCUUUCUAGCUUUGUGAUACACUUUCAAAGAGUCGGAUUGUUUGGGAAUGCAGUCCAAAAUGGGUGGUAAAUUUCAUCUAAAGCUAAAUAUUGGCGAGAGACCGAUAGCGAACAAGUACCGUGAGGGAAAGAUGAAAAGAACUUUGAAAAGAGAGUUAAACAGUACGUGAAAUUGUCAAAAGGGAAGCGUUUGACACCAGUGUUGUUUCUACGAAAAUCAAUUUAUGAUGGCUUGAUGCUAAGCUUUAAGACUUUAUCCGCUUGUUGUUUAGUUUUCUUGUCUUUGUGAAUGCACUUUUCGUGGAACAAGUCAACAUCAAUUUCUUUUGCUGUAAAAGGGUAAGAGGAAAGUGGCUUCGGCUUCGGUUGAAGUGUUUAUAGCCUUUUAUCUCUGCAGUCGGAGAGAUUGAGGUCUGCAGCGUAGACUCUUCGGGGUUAGAUACGUCGGUGCUAAGCUAUAGCUUUUCAUAGACAACUUGUUGACUAUGUUUAGUCAUGUGGCUUACCCGCUGGCGCUAUUUUACCUACGCUUAGGAUGUUGACACACGCGCGUGCUCG